rnacentral:misc_RNA from 1 species
GCUUCUUGAAUUUUAGCAAAUUUGAUCAUUGAAAAAUGGCAUCUUUACAGUUAUUGAAGUCUCCAUUCUCAUCAUUUUCUCAAUCUAAUUCUAGUCGUUUUUCCACUAUAGUACAAAGAAGGAUUUUGGGUGUGAGAUAUCAAAGGAAAAAUCCAAUCUUGAAGACAUUUGUUGAUACAAAGUUUAGGGUUAGUUGUAGAAUUCAAGACAACGAAAAUCAGAGUAAUGGUGAAGAACCACCAGAGUCAUUGUUUAUGAAAGAGUUGAGAAGACGUGGCAUGAAUCCAACUUCAUUGCUUGAGGAGACAAACACAAACAUCAAAGAAGACGAGGAGACAAAAUCUAGGGAAGAAGAUGGAGGCUUCUACCGCAGAAAUGCACUGUCAACAGAUUCUGAAAGAAAUUUGACUAAUCAAAGGGAACAGUCUAUGGCACUGAAUAGUGAAGGCCUUGAGGGUUUGAUUCCACGGGCAAAAAUUUUGCUUACUCUUGGUGGAACAUUCUUUUUGGCUUUUUGGCCGUUGAUCCUUGUAACUAUUGCAGCUUUCUUGGGUUUAUACCUGUAUUUUGGACCUUCUUUUGUGCAUUACGCGACCAACAGAUCGACAGAUCCACCACCAUAUGUUGACCCUUAUGUGCUACUCGAAGAAGAGAGGAUAUCACAGACAGCUCCACGUCUAAAUUGAGUUGCUGCUUAUUUCAUGAAGUUAUACUGUUCAAAUGUCUUGAAGGUUUCCAUUGCUUAUCCUGAAUAUAUUUUCCUUAUUAUUUUCUAGUUUGACA